UACAGAGGUCUCAACCGUUGUUCGGAUUCAUUGGGCGUAAAGGGUGCGUAGGCGGUCGCGCAAGUCGGAUGUGAAAUCUUAGGGCUCAACCCUGAAACUGCAUUCGAUACUGCGUGGCUCGAGUACUGGAGAGGAGACUGGAAUUUACGGUGUAGCAGUGAAAUGCGUAGAGAUCAUGAGGAAGACCAGUGGCGAAGGCGGGUCUCUGGACAGUUCCUGACACUGAGGCACGAAGGCCAGGGGAGCAAACGGG
rnacentral:rRNA from 1 species